rnacentral:rRNA from 1 species
AUUGAACGCUGGCGGCAUGCCUUACACAUGCAAAUCGAACGGUAACGGGCCUUCGGGUGCCGACGAGUGGCGAACGGGUGAGUAAUACAUCGGAACGUGCCCGAUCGUGGGGGAUAACGAGGCGAAAGCUUUGCUAAUACCGCAUACGAUCUACGGAUGAAAGCAGGGGACCGCAAGGCCUUGCGCGGACGGAGCGGCCGAUGGCAGAUUAGGUAGUUGGUGGGAUAAAAGCUUACCAAGCCGACGAUCUGUAGCUGGUCUGAGAGGAUGAUCAGCCACACUGGGACUGAGACACGGCCCAGACUCCUACGGGAGGCAGCAGUGGGGAAUUUUGGACAAUGGGCGCAAGCCUGAUCCAGCCAUGCCGCGUGCAGGAUGAAGGCUUUCGGGUUGUAAACUGAUUUUGUACGGAACGAAAAGCCUUCUUUUAAUACAGGAGGGUCAUGACGGUACCGUAAGAAUAAGCACCGGCUAACUACGUG